rnacentral:lncRNA from 1 species
AACACCUCUUAUUGCCUUUCUGUUCACUCCCUGUUUUCCAGCCAAAUUGGGGAACAAAAGCAAGUGGCCACUCCAUUUCUUAAACCAACCCAAGACUUGUGAAACAUCCCCUUUGCAGUGAAGGUUCUUAUAUCACCUUGAUAAUGUUCUUUCCUUCCUGGCAAGGGAUUAAAGCAACUCUGAUCACUGUACGCAAAGCAAUAAGGCAUUAUAAAUUUUGGAAUUGUCAAAGGAGCUUGAAGCAGCUGGAAAUUUACCAAGUAUCUGUAAACUUUUAAAGCUUAUGUCAUCGAAGAAAAUACACUUCAAAUUUCAAAAUGGUCUUUGUGCUUUACUAAUAGUACUAAAUACAGUGUUACUAGAUGC